rnacentral:rRNA from 1 species
UACGUAGGCAGCGAGCGUUGUUCGGAGUUACUGGGCGUAAAGAGUGUGUAGGCGGUGUCGUAAGUUCGGUGUGAAAUCUCCCGGCUUAACUGGGAGGGUGCGCCGGAAACUGCGAGACUUGAGUACGGGAGAGGGAUGCGGAAUUCCUGGUGUAGCGGUGAAAUGCGUAGAUAUCAGGAGGAACACCUGCGGUGUAGACGGCUUCCUGGACCGUUACUGACGCUGAGACACGAAAGCGUGGGGAGCAAACAGG